rnacentral:tRNA from 1 species
GCCUCGGUAGCUCAGUUGGUAUAGAGCAAUCGCCUUGUAAGCGAUAGGUCGUGGGUUCGACUCCCACCCGGGGCUCCA